UGGGGAAUUUUGGACAAUGGGCGAAAGCCUGAUCCAGCAAUGCCGCGUGUGUGAGGAAGGCCUUCGGGUUGUAAAGCACUUUUGUCCGGAAAGAAAUCCUUGGCUCUAAUACAGUCGGGGGAUGACGGUACCGGAAGAAUAAGCACCGGCUAACUACGUGCCAGCAGCCGCGGUAAUACGUAGGGUGCAAGCGUUAAUCGGAAUUACUGGGCGUAAAGCGUGCGCAGGCGGUUUGCUAAGACCGAUGUGAAAUCCCCGGGCUCAACCUGGGAACUGCAUUGGUGACUGGCAGGCUAGAGUAUGGCAGAGGGGGGUAGAAUUCCACGUGUAGCAGUGAAAUGCGUAGAGAUGUGGAGGAAUACCGAUGGCGAAGGCAGCCCCUGGGCCAAUACUGACGCUCAUGCACGAAAGCGUGGGGAGCAAACAGGAUUAGAUACCCUGGUAGUCCACGCCCUAAACGAUGUCAACUAGUUGUUGGGGAUUCAUUUCCUUAGUAACGUAGCUAACGCGUGAAGUUGACCGCCUGGGGAGUACGGUCGCAAGAUUAAAACUUAAAUGAAUUGACGGGGUCAUAGCUG
rnacentral:rRNA from 1 species